UGGGGAAUAUUGCACAAUGGGCGAAAGCCUGAUGCAGCAAUGCCGCGUGUGUGAAGAAGGCCUGCGGGUUGUAAAGCACUUUCGGUAGGAAAGAUUAUGACGGUACCUACAGAAGAAGCACCGGCUAACUCCGUGCCAGCAGCCGCGGUAAUACGGAGGGUGCAAGCGUUAAUCGGAAUUACUGGGCGUAAAGCGCGUGUAGGCGGUCUUGUAAGUCGGAUGUGAAAGCCCCGGGCUCAACCUGGGAACUGCAUUCGAUACUGCUCGACUAGAGUAUGGAAGAGGGAAGCGGAAUUCCGGGUGUAGCGGUGAAAUGCGUAGAUAUCCGGAGGAACACCAGUGGCGAAGGCGGCUUCCUGGUCCAAUACUGACGCUGAGACGCGAAAGCGUGGGGAGCAAACAGG
rnacentral:rRNA from 1 species